CCCAAAAUAAAGUGCAGACGAAAUGCAGACACUGAUAAAACCCUUAUAAUGUUGGUAAAAAUAAGAUAUAUCAAGGUAGAUAGUACUAUGGAGUGCAAUUUCUCUCCAAAGUUUGUGGAUCGUGAUAAACUCAUUUGAUGAACCUCUUGCCAAACACUGAAACAGUGAAACACAGGCAGUACACACAUGUACCAAAUGUUUGCUAUUUUUUCUGAGAAUGGUCUUAAACCAUCAGUAGCUCUAGAUCUUCACAUCAAUAUUGUAUUCCAUUUAAAUGAAGAAGAAAAAACAAUUCAAAUUGUGCACGUCGCAUGUUAUGCCAACAAAAAGUUUUCAUCCAGACAUUGACCACAUCAAGGAUUCUGGACUCAAGUCGUUACCUUACAGAACUAGCCUUAAACUAGCAAGUAGUGGACCGAAGGAAAAGGAUAUUAUUCAUCUUAUUAACUAGACAAGAAUCAUGUUGUACUUUGUUUCUGAAGAAAAUAAGAAUAGAUGUCAAUGAUGCAGUACUUGAAGGUGAAAUGAGGUUAAAUAAACAAGUAGAAAAGGGGAUUUGCCAACAUAUCCAGAAAAGAUGGAAACAACAGAAGAUAAAUAAUCCAGCAGUUUCCAGAUUAUGAAUUUCACAAUGUUAAUGAGUUUUACAAGCAGUUAGGAUGAGGUGUUUUUCAGAAGAAGAAAUGAGUUCCAAGAAUAUAUAUUCUAAAAGUUCCAAAUCUGUUUAUUGUAAUAGAUUACUUGAAAUAAUGAAGAAAAUUAUUACAACUGUUUUUCCACAAAAUACAGAAGAUGUUCUUCAUUCACUGACAAUGUAAUUGAGUUCUAAUAACCAGGAACAGAAACCUCAAGUAUUACCAAAAGGUUCAUUUUGUUCUUUUGUUGAUUCAUUGAAAGAGGCUGAAUCUUAGCACCACAAAACUACUGUCAUUCUAGACACAGACCAUGUUGUAUAAUCAAGUUUAUCAGAUGCUUCCAGACAUAUCUGAGAAUAAAUAUUAUGUGACAUCUAGCUGCAAAAUAAAACUGAUUUCAAGUUUUC